AGUGUAUUGGACCCUAACAGUGACCCAAAGGAACGUAUUGUUUUUGUAGGAUCAACUGUGUUGUUGCGUUCCGAUUUUUUGUCUUUAGGAUUGUCGGAAGGAGUUGAAGCAAUGAUUUUGAACUGUUGCCUAAGAAUCAUAGAGCACAUCGCUUUCCACAGGGAUAUCAGUGUGUAUGUUGCCAAUUCCUACGUGGUAGCGACCUGGCUUCCGCCACUCUCUUGUUUCCCAGAGUUGUCCCUUC